UACGGGGGGGGCAAGCGUUGUUCGGAAUUACUGGGCGUAAAGGGCUCGUAGGCGGCCAACUAAGUCAGACGUGAAAUCCCUCGGCUUAACCGGGGAACUGCGUCUGAUACUGGAUGGCUAGAGUUUGGGAGAGGGAUGCGGAAUUCCAGGUGUAGCGGUGAAAUGCGUAGAUAUGGAGGAACACCGGUGGCGAAGGCGGCACUCGACGAGCAGACUGACGCUGAGGAGCGAAAGCCAGGGGUGAGCAAACAGGG
rnacentral:rRNA from 1 species